GGGGAGGACUUUUUUUCUGACCCACGCUGUUCGGUCGGGUGUUUAGCAUGGUUAGUCUGUAGCUACGGGAUGGGCGGAGGUGUUAGCAGAAUAAGCACGGGUGUUAUCAAUAAGCACGGGUGCCCAGCCCCCCUCCGUCGCCCUGAUUCCUCUACCUCUCCCCUCGUCUGCCGCCGCCACCACUCACCACCGUCCUCCCCCACAGCCGUCGUCACCAUUGGCACCCUCCUCCACAGCUGAUGCCCCACCCCCUUCUUUUAUCUCCUCAUCUUCUCCCCACCAAUGGCGACCUCCUCCCCUCCCACUCGCCCCAGAUCGAGGAGCUGGUCCGGAUCGGAUGCAGGCUCAAAUCUCACACGCCCACAUCGCUGCUUUAGCUUGAGGACGCCAUGGACAAGGGCUCUAUCCCGCUCUCGCUCCGCCGUCGAUCCGUCCUUCUCGUCGCCCACGCCCUAUAGUAUGGGCGGCGGUGGUCGCUGCGGUUGUGGGUGUCUCCGCUCUCGCGGUAGGCCAUGGCCCUCCUCAUCACCCGCAUAAUCUGCCUCUGCUGUUGCUUUCGUCAGGUGUGAAGUGAGUCUCAAUUUCUAUUUCUGCUGAUUAGUAAUUAUUUUCUGUUGGUGGAUAUUCACAGAAAUUUAGGGAGUAUCUGUCAUCAAAAGAUUUUAGCAAUCUACGCUCCAAAGCUUAUUUCAGGGUCAAGUGAAGGUGGGGCGUGGUUUAUUUGAGGUCAUGCCUGUGUUUACAGUCGAAGAUUCCAACACACAUAGGCAUCUGUGUGAGAUUGUAUGGGUCAUUAUUUUGGGGUGAAGAAUAUUGAUAGGGUGUAGUUCAUUUGCAAAACAGUGACCCUGAACUUGUUUCUGUAUACAAAUUUGCCAUAUUAUAGAUGGAUUCUUCAUAGAAUUGUUUAGAUUGUUUACUGAAAAUUGCAAGAAGGAACUUGAGACAAUUAAUAAGGCAAUAUCCAUUUGAACCACCAAAGGGAGAUCCAAGAAGGAGCUAAUUGUCCCCAUGGCGUCGCAUCGUCGUGAGGAGGACAAAAGUGAGCACGGUACCUUCGACAAGUCAAUCCCAUUUCCCCCCUUCUAUGCGACGCAGAUAGGUCACACUGAUUCAACAAGUAUGUGCUAUUUGUUGUGCACAAAUUAAACAUUUAUGCAAUUAGGAUGUGGAUCUUUGAGAUAUUCAGCUUUGUAUGUUGAUUGGGGAUUAGUUGUUAGUGAAAGAGACAGAGAAAUAGAGGGAUUUUUUUUCAAAAAAAGUUUAGAUAUUGAGUUGUACGCCUACUUUAGAAUGUAAUCUUGGUGUUCAAACUGCACUAUACCAUUACUAAAAAGAUUUGGAAUUUAUAUUGUAUGUGAUUGGUUUGUAGGGCUGUAGGCUGGUGACAUACAUACUGGUUAAGGGUAGAUAUAUGUGAUUUGUGUGCCGUGUCGAAUCUAGGUAACACAAUGCUCCAAACUCAGAUCAAAGGAAAAAGCUGAUCAAUAGGUUUCAGCCAUGGUUAGCCUCUCUUGCAAUUUUGUGACGUGAGGUUUUUUUUUUGAAAGAUCCAGCGUUGCUGGCUUUUCAUUGAUUAAGCAGGGAGCAUGCGGGAAAAAGUUCAUGAUCAAGUGAUCAUGGUGGGGGUUACAGAGUUGGCGCCACUAGUGGGAACGCCAUUUGACCAAAAAGAUGGCACAAAAAUCAGCCUGGGUCACCGAGUGGUGUUUCCAGGCAUUUGGCCCCGGCAAGCCUCCACGAAUCCAUGUCUUGCCUUAUUGCUGCAAGGAUUUCACCACUCUGUCAUUGGCGAUCUCUGAAAGUUCUUGCAUUUCUCUCCAGCCAUAUAUGCCAGGCCACCAGCAUCAAUGUGGACUGCACCCUUUUCCUAUUUGCCGUUCCGGCUGCGCGCAUGGCACACCUGAACCGUUGCUUUGACGAUCCUGAAGGCCCGUUUGGUGCGGCUAAGAGAAUGGCGCAACCCGGGAGGGAGGCAACCUUUCGCCAAACUUCCUGAGACAGCGGGCACUCCCAGAGCAGAUGAACUGGUGAUUCAAGGCUUCGCAUGCACAGCCGACAGAAAUAGCCAUUUACCCAGCCCCUCCUUUGCAAUCUGUCAAUGGAUGCAGAUUAGCUUGGUGGCCUGCAUCUAUAUUUCUUUGUAGUUUUUUUCAUGUUGUUUGGCUAAUAGUUCUGCUCUGUAUCAUCUCCAAACAAGGGUUAGUUAGCUAUCUUUAGAUCUUUUUUGGUACACAAACACUGCAUGUAUUUGUAAGUAUAGCAGGAUUUAAAUCUGUUUUGUAUUUACAUGGCAGAACUACCACUUAAAUUAGUGCCUUUUAUUUCUUCAUCAAAAAAGGUUGCUCUUUCAGUUUCCUCCAAGUCCAAGUUCAGUUUGAACUAUCCAAACAGGGAUUUACUGAUUGUAUAUUCUUUGCCCACUUGCUAUUUUUUUUGCUCAUGCCGUCAUUGUGAUUAGAAAAAGUAGGAUCAUAACGUUUUUAUAUGGUUGGUCACUCUUUAGACUACGGUGUUGAAGACACAGCUUUACCUCUUCAACCAUCUGUGAACUAUAUUGUGCCAGAAUUGGUCCGUAGUGGUGAUUCUAAAUUAGGCUUUACCUGUGACAUAUUUAGUUUUGGAUGCUUGGCUUACCACUUAGUUUCUCAUAGACCACUUCUGGAUUGCCAUAAUAAUAUGAAAAUGGUAUCUCUUUUAAUCUGGCACAUGCUUUGUCAAAAUAUAAUGUAUUUAAUCUGGACUUCGCUCUACCUUUGACAUAUGCUAUGGCUGCAUAUGUAGAAAAUAUACUGACAUGUCCCCCUCUAAUUGCAGUAUAUGAAUUCAUUGACAUAUUUAACAAGUGAAGCCUUUUCUAAUAUUCCUACUCAUCUGGUGGUUGAUUUGCAAAAUAUGCUAUCAGUUGAUUUGGAAGCACCUCCAUCCUUUGCGACAACUGAUAUCUAUAUUCUUGAUACUUAUCUAUUACUGUAUCAGCAACAUGAAUAAAUCAGUUUUGCUUUGGUCUCUUGGACUGAAUGAGGUUUGGUUAACUCAUUUUGGUUUCGUCUGUGCUUCUGUACAGGAGAAUUUUCGUUGGGGGUGUAGCCUGGGAGACAACCGAAGGUAGGUACGAGUAAUUCUUGUAGGUUAUUUUGAUAAUGAUGGGGGCGAUUUUAGAUUUGUGGCGAACGAUGUGGGUGGGCCAGUUUAGAAUGCAGCAACAGUUCUAAAAUGACGAACUGUGCUUCUUCGUAUUUCAAGUUGUAUCGCUUUAAUUUCACGCAAAAAAAUUUUGUGUCGCUUUAAUAAUUUCAUGGUCCUUUUAAUAGAUUUCACUUAAAUGCGCAUUGUUAUGUUUUUCUCAUGAUUUAAUAUUCUGUACAUGAAACAUAUCGUAAAAGCUCACCAAGUUUGUCAUCCCAUGUUCAGUCGCUAUGAGCCUAUGAAGAUUACUCUUGGCCACCAGAGCGUUGGCCUUCUUAUAAUAAGAUGAUGAGCCAAUUGUCAAGCUGCUAGCUAUUUGUGCAGCUACAUUCCGUUAGAGAACAGUCACUAAUUGGGAAUAAAAAAUGCACAGCCUUGAGUAAGAGAGGAUAAUUGGUUAGCAUUUCUUCACCUUUGAGGUUCGUCGUGGCAGUCAUCAAGUCCUGACCAGGGCCACAUUGCAGAAACAUCAAACCAUGUUGAUGUUUAUUUUAUUGAUGAUAAAUGUCAGGUAUAAUCUUGUAUCUCUUUUUCAAUUGCAUGUGUGUGUGUCUUUAUGUUUUGUAUUUCAAAUAAAGCAUACAUCUUUCCCUUUCGUGAGUCUCAAAUGAGCUGAUACUGGUAUUCUCCAAUUAUGUACCUAUUGGCUACUCCCUCCGUUCCAAAAUAAUUAUCUUUCUAGCCAUCUCAAAUGGAGUACAACAUACGAAUGUAUGUAGACAUGUUUUAGAGUGUAGAUUCACUCAUUUUGCUCCGUAUGUAGUCACUUGUUGAAAUCUCUAGAAAGACAAUUAUUUAGGAACGGAGGGAGUAUAUAUUUCCCUACCAUAUUGCUUUUCCUCCUCAAAUGCCGAAUUGAAUAUUUAUGUUUGUUAGAAGCUUAUGUACUAUCAGACCGGAGACGUUAAGUACAAAAUCACUGAUGUGCCUCCCCUGACCAUGGUGUGUCCACGAGGGGCUAGGAAUUUAUGUUCUAAUGGGAUCUAUUUGAUCUGUAGCCAGACGACAUGCUAGCAUGCCUACGCAGGUUGUCACUGAGCCCUCUUAAUUUGGACAAGCUUCUUCAAACGAUUGUAGACUACUUUAACUCUUGACUACAUUGUUUUAUCGUUUUUGAAGCAUAUAUAAUAGUUUCCAUCUUAGCUAUUGGCACUGCAAGGUAUCCCAAUAUACAAUGUUUUGUCUGCGAGAAACAUUGAUGAUAUUUUCAAUUGAAGUAACAGUAGCAUAACAUGCUUCUAAUCAGACAUCAUUUGACAUCUUACCUAUCCUCUUAUUGGUUUAUUUUUUAUCCCUUAUUCUAUAAUACUGGUUUGGGUUAUUUGAGGAAUUAAACAUUGGAAACACAAUUUAGUUAAUAUUGGGUUCAUUUCUUUGGGGAGCUAAGCCAUGUAUUUGCUAUUUCAGUAACAGGGUUAGUUUGUGUAAAAUAGAUAAAUGUCUGCUAGCUUCUUAGGCAUUGAAUAAAAAACAAUUAAUCCCUUGCUAAAUAUACUAGGGUAAUGUCCUGGUCCAACCUUUGCUUGGGUUGUAAAGAAGCGAGUAGCCAUUCUACUUUUGUCUAAGCUGAGCAUAUGCUUUGAUGUAUUUCUUCGGUGAACAACACCAGAUUUUCUUAUGAGUUGGCCUAUUUAUAUUGUGAUAUAUUUACAUAACGCAUUCUCCAAGUAAAUCACAAAGUAUGCAUCUAUACUGGAAAUGAAGCCCUCAAACCUGACAUGCAUCAAAUACUUAGGUCAAUCGGUGCUUGUUUUUUGUUACCCCCAAUGUGUUUUGCAUGCUGGCAUGCUUGACAAUCUGGUUUGACUAAUUAUCCUCUCGGUCAUGGUGUGUAUGAUUGUAGGUGCUUCAUGGUUUAUGGAUUAAUGGCUCUGGAAAUAACAAACAUGUUGAAUGAAUUUGGAUCCAUAAAUAUGACUGAUCAACAAAAGUCACAAAGAAAGUAGUUUGACAUUUAUCAUCUUAUCGAUCCAUGCCAUGUAUGUUAUGAACAUGUUUUUAAAAAGUAGUCUUGGUGUAAAGUGCAAAUUGGUUUCCAUCUAAUGGCAGCUCUCCCCCCUUUUCCAUCUCUCUGUUUUGUAGAUGGCAGAGCAACUUAUCAUACAUACACACUCAAAUUUAUUUUGUUGAGAGUUUGUUCAUUUUCUUCUUAUUGAUCCAUCAAAGAAUGACUAUAGUGAAUAUUUUAUAUGCACUAUAUUUUCUAUUGUAUAUAGUUAUACUGGUCCUUUUUCUCAUUUUGUUCUGUUGUAAUCUUAUAAUUUGUAUUUGCAAUCUGUAGUACUUGUCCGUUUCGCCGAGGUGCAUCUCCAUCCACCCGGGCAUGGAUUACCUGCCCAUGAAGUUUGGAAGUGGGAGCUACAAAUCGUCUUUGUCGCCCCGAACAUAGCCUUUGAGUGUGUUGCCCACUAGAAGAAACUGCAUCUAUAUAGCUUGUGUAGCAAGUUUCUUCAUUCAGAUGCUUUUCUAUCAUGUACUCUAUAAUCCAACUGCCUUGCCUGAUUUUUGAACCAGCUACCAUAUAUGUAAAUGCAUCAUCUAACAAGGUCUACUGCUGCGUGCUACUCCCCAAAAUUUAAUAUACUAUCACCUCUAAUGGAUUUCAGCUAGAUUUAUGUAUCUAUAAUUGUGUCCCCAGUUCCAUCUCCAUGUGUCACACCGAUGACCAAAAAAGCCAACGCAAAGUGCGCUUCCUACUUGGCACCACAGAAUUACAUACCCAAUUCUUAGACAAGAUUGUGCCGCAGAGGAGGGCUCUCAGGAGGCCCGCAGUCGCGGGCCCCAACCACUAGUAUAUCUCUACUCAUAAUGGACGACUUGUGAAUAGUCUGCACGGUUUUUUUUCGCUGUUUUUUUUCGUCAUUCUCCCAUCUCCGUUUUAUUUUCGUCAUCCUUCCACCACUUUCGUCCGGGUUUUUUUCGUCCUGGAAAAACCUACGAAAAAAACCAGGACUCGCACGCACGAGCGAGACUGCCCUCGAGCGAAAUCAAAGGAACGAGGCCCCCUCGACUCCUUUCUCGAUCUGUUCCUAGGGUGUGAACGCCGCCGCCGCCGAUCCCAUCUUCCCCGGCGACAUGCCUCGCCGGCGGCCUCCUCUCCCCCAUCCACGCUGGCGACCACCCUCUACCCCGCCCUCUUCGUCAACCCGUCUCUCCAGUAGCUCGGGCGAAACCCUAGCCCACCCGCCACGGCGACCUAGCAGGCAGGCGGGAGGAGCCCUGCCCGGCCAUGGCGACACCGUCGGCGGCCUCCUCCUCCCCCUCACCUUCUCUCCCUCUCCCAAGGGAGGGAAGGGAAUGGAAGGGAUCCGGCGGCAAGGGGAGGCAGCGCCUAGAUCCGCAGCCGCACCGGCGUGCCGCCGUCCCUCGAGGUCGUCCAUGGAGGUCCGACCCUCCCUUCAGCCAUGGACUCAGACGCCCGAAACCCUAGCUACCCGUGGAGGUCCGACGCCUCAACCUCCAAGGAAAGGACGCGCGCCGGCUGCAGGCCAUCUCCGGCGACCUCCGACCAUGGUUGCUCGGAUCUGGACCAGCUGCUGCUCCUACUGCUUCAGGUGGACGAGGACGAGCCCUCCCUCAUGGUUGCUGCGGCUGCCUACUCCCUUGGUCACCACGCCCCUCCCGUGCCUGGGGUCUCCUUUCUCUCCCGCAGCGGCCACAGUAGGCGCGUGUGGCUAGAAGGGUUGAGGGAGCGAGGUCGGUGCCCCCAGGGCGGACGCGGCCGGAGGUCGACGAUGAGCAAGGGUAAGUGUUAGUGGCGGCCUGAGUCUACCCCGCAUCUUUAUCGCCGAACUCAUCUUAGGUCUGUUGCUGGGGCUAAACGGCACGGUGGCGGCAGGUGGCUGCUGUGGCAGAACCAGCCAUCUUCCCGAUCCAGGCUGCCCAGGCAGGUUCCAGCCGGGCAUCCGCUGGCCACGCGCAUAAAUGUAUCAGGAAUGAGCCGGCCGUUCUACAGUUUGGAAUAUAAUCGGACGAAGAGCGGAGGAAAGUGGACCAUGAACAAUGGCGUGGCUCCGUAAUGUGGGACACCUCGCCAUUGAGGCGAGCGGCGGCUGCAUAUCCCACACCACACUUACCAUCCGCACGAGGGGCCAUGGCCAAGCGAUGAAUUUUGCUCUGCACCUGGCUGGGAGCUUCUGCCUUGGCCUGCUCUUGACCAGCGGACAUUGAGAUGUGCAGGCUUGGGACGGGCACGAGGACAAAGAUCAUUGUGCUGCCAUUUUGCAUAUUAGGGGAAGAUUCGGGUCAAUGAGAUGUGCUUGGUUCAACCCAUGGCCUUGCUUUGGUGGUUGUUGACAUGAUUUACUCAUGGAAUUUGUAUAAUUCAUAUUGACCUGAAUAUGUAUAAU